rnacentral:rRNA from 1 species
CCUACGGGAGGCAGCAGUGAGGAAUAUUGGUCAAUGGACGGAAGUCUGAACCAGCCAUGCCGCGUGCAGGAAGACGGCUCUAUGAGUUGUAAACUGCUUUUGUACAAGGGUAAACCUGAAUACGUGUAUUCAGCUGAAAGUACUGUACGAAUAAGGAUCGGCUAACUCCGUGCCAGCAGCCGCGGUAAUACGGAGGAUGCGAGCGUUAUCCGGAUUUAUUGGGUUUAAAGGGUGCGCAGGCGGAGGCACAAGUCAGCGGUAAAAUCGAGGGGCUCAACCCCGCUCCGCCGUUGAAACUGUGUACCUUGAGUGCGCGAAGGGCAGGCGGAAUUCGAGGUGUAGCGGUGAAAUGCUUAGAUAUCACGAAGAACCCCGAUUGCGAAGGCAGCCUGCCGCAGCGUUACUGACGCUGAAGCUCGAAAGCGCGGGUAUCGAACAGGAUUAGAUACCCGAGUAGUC